CCGGCCCAACGCGCGGCUAAUGCCGAAUAUCGUGGUCUGUAACAUUACAGACUAACGAAAGAUUUAUCGAUACGAGAUGAACUUGCGUCCGAUUAACUAGUAGGCGGGGUAGAAGCCCACCUCGACGAUCGGUAGCCGGCCUGAGAGGGUGAUCGGCCACAUUGGGACUGAGAUACGGCCCAGACUCCUACGGGAGGCAGCAGUAGGGAAUAUUACGCAAUGGGGGCAACCCUGACGCAGCAACGCCACGUGUGGGAAGAAGCAUUUCGGUGUGUAAACCACUGUCGGGAGGGAAUAAUAAUACGAUUCGUCGUAUAUGAAUGUACCUCCAAAGGAAGCACCGGCAAACUUCGUGCCAGCAGCCGCGGUAAUACGAGGGGUGCGAGCGUUGUUCGGAAUCACUGGGCGUAAAGGGAGCGUAGGCGGAGUUACAAGCAAUCUGUGCAAUCGUGGGGCCCAACCUCAUACCCGCAGAUUGGACUGUAAUUCUUGGAUAUUUCAGGGGCAAGCGGAAUUCCUGGUGUAGCGGUGGAAUGCGUAGAUAUCAGGAAGUACACCAAAAGCGAAGGCAGCUUGCUGGGGAAUAAUCGACGCUGAGGCUCGAAAGUGUGGGUAGCAAACAGGAUUAGAUACCCUGGUAGUCCACACAGUAAACGAUGCAUACUGGAUGUUCGAUUUUCGGAUCGAGUGUCGAAGCAAACGUGUUAAGUAUGCCGCCUGGGGGAGUACGUACGCAAGUAUGAAACUCAAAGGAAUUGACAGGGGCCCGCACAAGCGGUGGAGCAUGUGGUUUAAUUCGAAGCAACGCGAAGAACCUUACCAGGGUUUGACAUGAAAACACCGCAGCGAGAGAU
rnacentral:rRNA from 1 species